UCCUAAAAAGUCAAUCUAUUAACAUUGGGUGAGACUCAUUUGCUAUGAAUCUAUUCACACCACAGAGUUGUACAGGUUUCUGUAUGAAUGAUGUUGAAUCACAGUGAUCUAAUUGAGAAAUAAUCACCUAAAGAGUUCCAGACAUUUUUAGAUCUGCUCUGGAGUCAUUAAUGGUCGAGAUUUGUAACACCUGCUUAGGAAAAGUGCUGUGUCAAGAAAAGAAGAUUGAAGCCAAGAGUGCUUUAUUUCUCAGCAAGAAAAUGUCUGCACACACACACACUCACAAACACACACCCUUGAGGCCCUGCCCAUUAUCUGUCUGACGUGUAAAAUGUUCCUUGGAGCGAUCGAUGAAGAUCAGGUCCAAGGAAUUGAUAACCUUAUAAAGCCUGUAAUUACUUUCCUUCCUCGGCAACGAGCAAUAAAGUUUUUAUUAUGGAUCUCUCCGCUCACUCCGCGAGUCUUAGACAGUGAGGGAUGUUAGAAAUUAAAACUCACAGACUGUGAUUGUUUCACCGACUGAAAAUGCACGGAUACAGAUGAUUGAAAGUGAACUUCGCUGAUGAACAGAAUUUCAAGAGCAACCUGGGCUCCUAUGUCAUUCUCUUCAACGUGGAGAUCUGGGAAGAAACUAAUGUACCUUCAUUAACAGUAAAACAGCGCUACGUUUGAAUGAAUGGAAAUGGCUGGCAGAGGAUUUCCCAAGAUGACUGUAAAAAUGUCACCACAUGAAAAGUCUUAGGUUCACACCUGGGAGGGGCACAUCUUUAUCUGCAAGGCUAAUGUCUUCUUGAAGUUCAUGGAUCCUCCUGAGGUACAGACAGCAGAGGAGAGAUGACUCGAUGUGUUGAAUAUCUGAUGCCUUCCUCUUUCCCCGCUGUGGCCAUUACUCACCUCCUCGGAGAUGAUUGCAGAAGCCACAACAGACGCAAAAGUGACUGACACAGAGACACUGUGUGAGUUACAUUUCAAAAAUACACACAUUAUGAAUGAUUACUUUAACAGGAUGGAUCAUAGCGCUCGCUCUCCGUCUCUGUUUUGUUCCUUCCUCUGUGCCUUUUGUGUCUUGUGUGUGUCUGUAAAAGUAGAAAGGAAAUCAUUCAAGUGAGGACAGAAGCAAAACUGUGAAAAGUAAGAAAGGAAAUUACUGGAACUUUAAAGUCAACUUGAAAUUGGCUCAAUUUACUUUCUGAACACAUGUUCUUGGUCUUAUUGUGAAUAAUGCACAUUAUUCCAAA